UACAGAGGGUGCGAGCGUUGUUCGGAAUUAUUGGGCGAAAGCGCUUGUAGGCGGCACGUCAAGUCGCGUGUGAAAUCCCCCAGGCUUAACCUGGGAAGUGCGCGCGAAACUGACGAGCUUGAGUGCCGGAGAGGGUCGCGGAAUUCCCGGUGUAGAGGUGAAAUUCGUAGAUAUCGGGGAGGAACACCAGUGGCGAAGGCGGCGACCUGGACGGACACUGACGCUGAGACGGCGAAAGCGUGGGGAGCAAACAGG
rnacentral:rRNA from 1 species